AUUGAACGCUGGCGGCAUGCUUUACACAUGCAAGUCGAACGGCAGCGCGGGCUUCGGCCUGGCGGCGAGUGGCGAACGGGUGAGUAAUGCAUCGGAACGUGCCCAGUAGUGGGGGAUAGCCCGGCGAAAGCCGGAUUAAUACCGCAUACGACCUGAGGGUGAAAGCGGGGGACCGAAAGGCCUCGCGCUAUUGGAGCGGCCGAUGUCGGAUUAGCUAGUUGGUGGGGUAAAGGCUUACCAAGGCGACGAUCCGUAGCUGGUCUGAGAGGACGACCAGCCACACUGGGACUGAGACAGGGCCCAGACUCCUGCGGGAGGCAGCAGUGGGGAAUUUUGGACAAUGGGGGCAACCCUGAUCCAGCCAUGCGGCGUGCGGGAAGAAGGCCUUCGGGUUGUAAACCGCUUUUGUUCGGGAAGAAAUCCUCUGGGCUAAUACCCCGGGGGGAUGACGGUACCGGAAGAAUAAGCACCGGCUAACUACGUG
rnacentral:rRNA from 1 species